AACUGCUUUUAUGCGGGUAUAAAGGAGCAUACGUGUAUGUUUUUGCAGUUACCGCAUGAAUAAGGACCGGCUAAUUCCGUGCCAGCAGCCGCGGUAAUACGGAAGGUUCUGGUGUUAUCCGGAUUUAUUGGGUUUAAAGGGAGCGCAGGCUGUCAGAUAAGCGUGUUGUGAAAUGCGGUUGCUCAACAUCCGCACUGCAGCGCGAACUGUCUGACUUGAGUACGCACGACGUUGGCGGAAUUUGCCGUGUAGCGGUGAAAUGCUUAGAUAUGGCGAAGAACUCCGAUUGCGAAGGCAGCUGACGGGAGCGCUACUGACGCUCAUGCUCGAAAGUGCGGGUAUCGAACAGGAUUAGAUACCCUGGUAGUCC
rnacentral:rRNA from 1 species